rfam:Dipodomys ordii contig_75290, whole genome shotgun sequence.
GAAAAUGUGGCUUAGUGGUAGAGUGCUUGUCUUGCAUGCAUGAAGUCCUAGGUUCUAUUCCUCAAUACCA